AAAAGGUUGAAGAGCAUGAACACCCCUUUCCAAUUCUUAGAUGAGCUAUUUAAGUCACAAGCUUAUUGAAGAAUUGCAGGUGGUGGACAAGCCUUUCAAAAAU
rnacentral:pre_miRNA from 1 species